GAGCGGGUGUAGCAAUACAUCAGCGGCAGACGGGUGAGUAACGCGUGGGAACGUACCUUUUGGUUCGGAACAACCCCAGGGAAACUUGGGCUAAUACCGGAUAAGCCCUUACGGGGAAAGAUUUAUCGCCGAAAGAUCGGCCCGCGUCUGAUUAGCUAGUUGGUGAGGUAAUGGCUCACCAAGGCGACGAUCAGUAGCUGGUCUGAGAGGAUGAUCAGCCACAUUGGGACUGAGACACGGCCCAAACUCCUACGGGAGGCAGCAGUGGGGAAUAUUGGACAAUGGGCGCAAGCCUGAUCCAGCCAUGCCGCGUGAGUGAUGAAGGCCCUAGGGUUGUAAAGCUCUUUUGUGCGGGAAGAUAAUGACGGUACCGCAAGAAUAAGCCCCGGCUAACUUCGUG
rnacentral:rRNA from 1 species